rnacentral:rRNA from 1 species
GAUGAACGCUGGCGGCGUGCCUAAUACAUGCAAGUCGAGCGAACGGACGAGAAGCUUGCUUUUCUGAUGUUAGCGGCGGACGGGUGAGUAACACGUGGAUAACCUACCUAUAAGACUGGGAUAACUUCGGGAAACCGGAGCUAAUACCGGAUAAUAUUUUGAACCGCAUGGUUCAAAAGUGAAAGACGGUCUUGCUGUCACUUAUAGAUGGAUCCGCGCUGGAUUAGCUAGUUGGUAAGGUAACGGCUUACCAAGGCAACGAUGCAUAGCCGACCUGAGAGGGUGAUCGGCCACACUGGAACUGAGACACGGUCCAGACUCCUACGGGAGGCAGCAGUAGGGAAUCUUCCGCAAUGGGCGAAAGCCUGACGGAGCAACGCCGCGUGAGUGAUGAAGGUCUUCGGAUCGUAAAACUCUGUUAUUAGGGAAGAACAUAUGUGUAAGUAACUGUGCACAUCUUGACGGUACCUAAUCAGAAAGCCACGGCUAACUACGUG